rnacentral:rRNA from 1 species
AGCGAACGCUGGCGGCAGGCCUAACACAUGCAAGUCGAACGAACUCUUCGGAGUUAGUGGCGGACGGGUGAGUAACACGUGGGAACGUGCCUUUUGGUUCGGAAUAACUCAGGGAAACUUGUGCUAAUACCGAAUGUGCCCUUCGGGGGAAAGAUUUAUCGCCAUUAGAGCGGCCCGCGUCUGAUUAGCUAGUUGGUGAGGUAACGGCUCACCAAGGCGACGAUCAGUAGCUGGUCUGAGAGGAUGACCAGCCACACUGGGACUUAGACACGGCCCAGACUCCUACGGGAGGCAGCAGUGGGGAAUCUUGCGCAAUGGGCGAAAGCCUGACGCAGCCAUGCCGCGUGAAUGAUGAAGGUCUUAGGAUUGUAAAAUUCUUUCACCGGGGACGAUAAUGACGGUACCCGGAGAAGAAGCCCCGGCUAACUUCGUG